rnacentral:rRNA from 1 species
GACGUAGGGUGCAAGCGUUGUCCGGAUUUACUGGGCGUAAAGAGCGCGUAGGCGGUCUUGUAAGUGUGAAGUGAAAUCUCCAGGGCUCAACCCGGAAACUGCUUUGCAUACUGCGAGACUUGAGGGAUGCAGAGGUUUGUGGAAUUCCUGGUGUAGCGGUGAAAUGCGUUGAUAUCAGGAGGAACACCCAUGGCGAAGGCAGCAAACUGGGCAUCAUCUGACGCUGAGGCGCGAAAGCGUGGGGAGCAAACAG